rnacentral:rRNA from 1 species
UAGGGAAUCUUCGGCAAUGGACGAAAGUCUGUCCGAGCAACGCCGCGCGAGUGAAGAAGGUUUUCGGAUCGUAAAACUCUGUUGUUAGAGAAGAACAAGGACGUUAGUAACUGAACGUCCCCUGACGGUAUCUAACCAGAAAGCCACGGCUAACUACGUGCCAGCAGCCGCGGUAAUACGUAGGUGGCAAGCGUUGUCCGGAUUUAUUGGGCGUAAAGCGAGCGCAGGCGGUUUCUUAAGUCUGAUGUGAAAGCCCCCGGCUCAACCGGUGAGGGUCAUUGGAAACUGGGAGACUAGAGUGCAGAAGAGGGGAGUGGAAUUCCAUGUGUAGCGGUAAAAUGCGUAGAUAUAUGGAGGAACCCCAGUGGCGAAGGCGGCUCUCUGGUCUGUAACUGACGCUGAGGCUCGAAAGCGUGGGGAGAAAACAGG